UCUGGCAAUGAUGAGCCACUUGCCCUCACUGAGAACCAAGUUCGGUAAUGAGAAUCUAGUUCUGAGCCAGA